CCGGUAGCCCCGGGAAGCUGCCGCCAGCUGGGAUGCUCCGCCGCGGGGAGCGGCGCGGGGGCGAGGCGGCCGGCGGCGGAGCCGGGGCGCGGCGCGAGCGGGGCCGGGAAGGGAGGGGAAAGGAGCCAGGCAAGGAGCCAUCGCCUCCCUGGGAGAUGAUGAAGAAGACUUGCUUUGUGCCCAGAACAAGAGGCUUCUGCUAAGCCCCCACCUCUGUGAGCAAUAAAUGCUCUUCUCCUUUAACCAGCUGUGGGAUGGUUAAAGGGAGGGAUGAUGUGUAAUGGGAGGCAACACAUGUUCCAGCCUUCUUCAAUCUUAUUUAGCUGCUGAGGAUUUCUACAUUCCCAAGGGACUGCUAUGACAAGGGUUCCAGUGAGGGCAUUUGCCUCACUGACCUCAACAGCAGCUUAUUCAUGUGGGCACCUGUUUAACAGACCACAGGGAACCUGUGCCUUUGAUCAAACAGUGUACUGCUAUAGGCUGUGGGACCUCCUGAACACAGCAUCCACUCUUCCUCAUCACAUGAUAGCAGGAAACCUCUGCUUCUCUUCAGAAUUUGGCCAAACUGUACACCCAGUUAAAGACAAGGAUACACCUCUGCGACUGCUAGAUUUUAUUACCAGAAAGCUUUGCAGAAAUGCUACUGGACUUACACAGUGUGUGAUCUACGCAACUUUCUCUUGGUCCGACCCCAAACGGCGAGUGUGGAUAAAUGGUAUCUUCUUACUUAUGACAUCUGUUCCCUGUGUGAAUUCAGACAUGCGUGUCCUGACUUCAAUAACAAAAAUGCUUUU